rnacentral:lncRNA from 1 species
GUGAUAGGGUUUCUCUGUCAAAAAUCGAAAGGAGCACAGCGAAGUGACUCGUGUAAAGGAUCUCAUUUGAGAGGUGCCGAAGGGACAGAGACUUGUCAUUGCCAAAGUUUUACACUACCACUUUGGCUGCAUUCAGACUCAAGACAAUUCUUCUAUGCCAGCCUUCUAACCACUGGGAUUGCAGUUGUGAGCUGUGGUGCUCGGCUUUCAGCAUUCUCAAAAUUAGAAUACAGACUAUCAAUUUUUCUUCUUAAAUUUCUUUGAAGAUUGUGAAA